GACAGAGGGGGCAAGCGUUGCUCGGAAUCACUGGGCGUAAAGGGCGCGUAGGCGGGAUGGCAAGUCAGUCGUGAAAUCUCUCGGCUCAACCGAGAAACGUCGGCUGAUACUGCCGUUCUUGAGGGAUGCAGAGGAGACUGGAAUUCCCGGUGUAGCGGUGAAAUGCGCAGAUAUUAGGAAGAACACCAGUGGCGAAGGCGGCUCACUGGCCCGGUACUGACGCUGAGGCGCGAAAGCGUGGGGAGCAAACAGG
rnacentral:rRNA from 1 species